UUUCCAGACUCCUACGGGAGGCAGCAGUGAGGAAUAUUGGUCAAUGGCCGAGAGGCUGAACCAGCCAAGCCGCGUGAAGGAAUAAGGCCCUACGGGUCGUAAACUUCUUUAGUCAGGGAACAAAGGGUGCCACGUGUGGCGCUGUGAGUGUACCUGAAGAAUAAGCAUCGGCUAACUCCGUGCCAGCAGCCGCGGUAAUACGGAGGAUGCGAGCGUUAUCCGGAUUUAUUGGGUUUAAGGGGUGCGUAGGCGGGCUGUUAAGUCAGCGGUCAAAUGUCGGGGCUCAACCCCGGCCUGCCGUUGAAACUGGCGGCCUCGAGUGGGCGAGAAGUAUGCGGAAUGCGUGGUGUAGCGGUGAAAUGCAUAGAUAUCACGCAGAACUCCGAUUGCGAAGGCAGCAUACCGGCGCCCUACUGACGCUGAGGCACGAAAGCGUGGGUAUCGAACAGGAUUAGAUACCCUUGUAGG
rnacentral:rRNA from 1 species